AGAGUUUGAUCCUGGCUCAGAUUGAACGCUGGCGGCAGGCCUAACACAUGCAAGUCGAGCGGAUGAGAGGAGCUUGCUCCUGGAUUCAGCGGCGGACGGGUGAGUAAUGCCUAGGAAUCUGCCUGGUAGUGGGGGACAACGUUUCGAAAGGAACGCUAAUACCGCAUACGUCCUACGGGAGAAAGCAGGGGACCUUCGGGCCUUGCGCUAUCAGAUGAGCCUAGGUCGGAUUAGCUAGUUGGUGAGGUAAUGGCUCACCAAGGCGACGAUCCGUAACUGGUCUGAGAGGAUGAUCAGUCACACUGGAACUGAGACACGGUCCAGACUCCUACGGGAGGCAGCAGUGGGGAAUAUUGGACAAUGGGCGAAAGCCUGAUCCAGCCAUGCCGCGUGUGUGAAGAAGGUCUUCGGAUUGUAAAGCACUUUAAGUUGGGAGGAAGGGCAGUAACUUAAUACGUUGCUGUCUUGACGUUACCGACAGAAUAAGCACCGGCUAACUCUGUGCCAGCAGCCGCGGUAAUACAGAGGGUGCAAGCGUUAAUCGGAAUUACUGGGCGUAAAGCGCGCGUAGGUGGUUUGUUAAGUUGGAUGUGAAAUCCCCGGGCUCAACCUGGGAACUGCAUUCAAAACUGACAAGCUAGAGUAUGGUAGAGGGUGGUGGAAUUUCCUGUAGCGGUGAAAUGCGUAGAUAUAGGAAGGAACACCAGUGGCGAAGGCGACCACCUGGACUGAUACUGACACUGAGGUGCGAAAGCGUGGGGAGCAAACAGGAUUAGAUACCCUAGUAGUCC
rnacentral:rRNA from 1 species